UACGGGGGGGGGCAAGCGUUGUUCGGAAUUACUGGGCGUAAAGGGCUCGUAGGCGGCCAACUAAGUCAGACGUGAAAUCCCCCGGCUCAACUGGGGAACUGCACGGGAAACAGCAGGGCUUGAGUUCGGGAGAGGGAAGCGGAAUUCCGGGUGUAGCGGUGAAAUGCGUAGAUAUCCGGAGGAACACCGGUGGCGAAGGCGGCUUCCUGGACCGAUACUGACGCUGAGGCGCGAAAGCUAGGGGAGCAAACGGG
rnacentral:rRNA from 1 species